AUUGAACGCUGGCGGCAUGCCUUACACAUGCAAGUCGAACGGUAACAGGUCUUCGGAUGCUGACGAGUGGCGAACGGGUGAGUAAUACAUCGGAACGUGCCUAGUAGUGGGGGAUAACUACUCGAAAGAGAGGCUAAUACCGCAUGAGAUCUACGGAUGAAAGCAGGGGAUCGCAAGACCUUGUGCUACUAGAGCGGCCGAUGGCAGAUUGGGUAGUUGGUGGGAUAAAAGCUUACCAAGCCGACGAUCUGUAGCUGGUCUGAGAGGACGAUCAGCCACACGGGGACUGAGACACGGCCCAGACUCCUACGGGAGGCAGCAGUGGGGAAUUUUGGACAAUGGGCGCAAGCCUGAUCCAGCAAUGCCGCGUGCAGGAUGAAGGCCUUCGGGUUGUAAACUGCUUUUGUACGGAACGAAAAGCCCUGGGUUAAUACCCUGGGGUCAUGACGGUACCGUAAGAAUAAGCACCGGCUAACUACGUGCCAGCAGCCGCCGUAA
rnacentral:rRNA from 1 species